rnacentral:lncRNA from 1 species
GGUCAGAGUGUAGGCCUGUCAUUCCGACUUUUUGGAGGCUCACACAAAGGGCUUGUAUCUCUCUCACCUGACAUUAGGCAGUGAUAGUAAACUGACUUAAAUCAGAAGCAUGGUUAUCACUGAGAACAAGGGAGAGCAAGACAGUUUGUUAAUCCAUGAUGAAAAUCCUUGCAAAACCUCGGGAGACACAAGGGGGAGCAAGAGAUUGUGAAUUCCUGAAAAAGAAACUGAUCAACUUGAAAAAUCAGCUUGACAACUGAGACUUUUGCAUGCUCCUAAAUACAAGCUUUGGGAAAAUAACCUCUUAGCCAGUCUCAUGGAUAAGAGUCAUAUCCUGCAGGAAACCAGUAGGCAAAGUCUUGAGUAACUAUUUUAUCAGAUAUACAGAAUCUAAGAAAAGAUAGUUUUUACAAACAGAAACAGACAUGGUAACUUGGCCCAAAGAGAAACACAUUAAAUUCCCAGAAGCCAACCCCAAAGAAACAGAUGUAUAUAAUUAUUUGACAAAGGGUUCACAAGGAAUACAUAUAUAUAUAUAUAUUCUUUGGGAACUUUAUGCAAUGUAUUUUGAUCAUAUUCACCCCUCCCCCACAACUCCUUCCAGAUCCACUCCACCUCUGUAUUGACCAACUUUCUCUCUCUC